GAUGAACGCUGGCGGCGUGCCUAAUACAUGCAAGUCGAGCGAAUGGAUUAAGAGCUUGCUCUUAUGAAGUUAGCGGCGGACGGGUGAGUAACACGUGGGUAACCUGCCCAUAAGACUGGGAUAACUCCGGGAAACCGGGGCUAAUACCGGAUAACAUUUUGAACCGCAUGGUCCGAAAUUGAAAGGCGGCUUCGGCUUGCAAUUAUGGAUGGCCCCGCGUCGCAUUAGCUAGUUGGUGAGGUAACGGCUCACCAAGGCAACGAUGCCUAGCCGACCUGAGAGGGUGAUCGGCCACACUGGGACUGAGACACGGCCCAGACUCCUACGGGAGGCAGCAGUAGGGAAUCUUCCGCAAUGGACGAAAGUCUGACGGAGCAACGCCGCGUGAGUGAUGAAGGCUUUCGGGUCGUAAAACUCUGUUGUUAGGGAAGAACAAGUGCUAGUUGAAUAAGCUGGCACCUUGACGGUACCUAACCAGAAAGCCACGGCUAACUACGUGCCAGCAGCCGCAGUAA
rnacentral:rRNA from 1 species